CUUGUCAAGGAUGGUUUUAUCAUCAGGAAGCCAACCAAGAUUCACUCACGAUCCCGUGCAAGGAGGGCACUGGAGGCAAAGAGAAAAGGGCGGCAUUCUGGAUAUGGUAAGCGCAGGGGUACAAGAGAAGCCAGGCUGCCGACUAAGGUACUUUGGAUGCGUAGGAUGCGAGUUCUCAGGCGGUUACUGCGUAAGUACCGUGAGUCGAAGAAGAUUGACAAGCACAUGUACCAUGACAUGUACAUGAAAGUGAAAGGUAAUGUCUUCAAGAACAAGAGGGUGCUGAUGGAAAGCAUUCAUAAAUCCAAAGCUGAGAAGGCAAGAGAGAAGACCUUAUCCGACCAGUUUGAAGCUAAACGAGCCAAGAGCAAGGCCAGCAGAGAAAGGAAGAUUGCCAGGAGAGAGGAACGCCUGGCUCAGGGGCCUGGAGACGGAGCACCUGCUGCGCAGCAACCUGAGGCUCCAAAGAAAGCUAAGAAGUAGAGGCACACACCGACAUUGCUGUUUCUAUUCUGAAUCAUUACUCGCUCGCAGAAUGGAAGCAUCAGCAAGCGGAUGAUUGCUAAAAAAAAAGAAAAAAGAGAAUCGCAGAAGCUUUUAUUUCAGUCAUUCUGAGUUUGCUAGUUGGAUAAUCAUGUGUGCUACACCUCACUGAUGAUGGGUGUUACCAUAUUUUGAUCGCCUAGAAACAUUGAUCACUCUCUCUUUUUUUUGUUUUUGAUAAGAUUGUCGUCUAUUGUUAAAUAAGAGUCGAGAGAUGGUGGCUAUGGUCCUUCGAACUGAUAAAACUAUGCCGAUAUCUUUGUUAGGGGAGUGAUUUUAACCACGUAAAGUGUUUGCGUGGCAUAGAUUAGUGUUUUUGUCAUCAAUAUGUUAUGCACGCAAGAAGAACCAUAAUCAAAACCCGUUCUUUUGAGCCCAUA